UUGGUGAUAGGUGGAUGGUUGGACUGGAUGAUCUUGGAGGUCUUUUCCAACAUUGGUGAUUCUAUGAUUCCAAGAUGGUGCUACCUGGGCAUGCAUAACAGACUCCCCUUAAGCCUGGGGAGCAGGAUCAGGAGUGAGGCUGCAGUUCACACUAAAUGAAAGAACAUCCAUGGCCCCGCUUUCCCUGUCCCACUUCUGCCCUCCACUGUAGCUACUGCAGGAAUGCCUGUUCCUUGCACCUUGCAUCCAAGGUAUUAGAAUUCCUAUUAACCCUUCCAUCAGGAGCCAAUUAAAAAAAGAUGGUCACCAAUUUUUAAUCAUUUUGUGAUGGUUUAAUAAGCCUCCUGGAAUCUCUCUUCUGUCCAUACCGCAGCUCUCUGCUGCAUAAACUCACCGGUUUGUUGCUGUGCAGUUUCUCACAGGCUCCCAGGUGGUGAUAAAAGGAUAUGAAAAUAACAUCAAGUGGGGAAGAAAAGACAUUGACCCCAAAGACUCUGUUAUGACGAAUGGUGGUAAUAUGCAACAAUUUGGGGAAUUUCUGUGUUUUUGCCUUGCCCAAAAUUUGGAGUAUAUGUUCAGGACUGCCUGCAGAAUUUCAGCUGCUGGGGGACACUCCACCUUGAACACUGUUGUGCUCUUAAAGUUAUAUCCCUGCACUGGAGCAGAGCUGCAUGGCCAUUUUGAGCAUGGAAUUAGUUAAGAUACACAGUUUGUACCUUUUUACUAUGAAACUGGGAUCUUUAGCUUGUUUUUCUGGUUACUAGUACAGAACACCCAUGUAAUUGCCAAGCACUGUUUCUAGCCAUGAAGAGCAAGCAGUCCAAUAAUUUAAUAAUGAUAAUUCAAAAAAAAAAAAAAAAACCACAAUCAAACAAAACUAAUCCAAAAGAGGGUCUAUUUUUACUACAGCAUCCACAUCUAGACACCAGCAUUCAUUGUCAUUGAUAACAGAGAAGAAAAAAGUCUCCUAGACUUAGGAAAUGGUUUUAAAUUUUUAUGAGCUCUCUGUAAUGCCAUCCUCAGCUACUCUAGCUAAGAUGAAAUUGCAAGGUUUACCCACUGAUGUGCUUUGAGAAAUAAAUCAGAAACUAAUUGUUUGACAUUAGAGAAGAACUUGUUUUUACCUCCUCCCACCCUACUCAACAUAACUAUUUCUGUUUCCUUUAUACUGUGUAGUCAGUGUCAAUGCAUGUGAUGAGAGCAUAUAUGUUUAUUAUUACACUUGGAUUGAUCUUCAUUUGACCCAUGAAAUUGAUAUGCUUCCUGUGUGAGAGUUAGUCAGAGACAUACUUUAAUUCUUAUUAAACUAAACCUUUACCGGGGGCAGGGAGAUUUCAAGGGAGUCUCUGCCAUGUAAAGAAAUCAUGCUGUCUUUCCAUAUAUGAAUCUAAGCACAGUCAGACCUCAGAUUGUAUAGAGCAAGAGAUGUGAAAUGAGUUAUGAGUACUGAGAGUUUGAAUAAUUGACGGAAAUUUCAAUGCAAUUAAUAAAAAGUAAAGGAUGUGAA